CCCUGUAUUCGAAAGUGAUUAUGGGCUGCCUGUGCCCUGGUCAUUGAUAGUGCAGGGAGAAGAACUGCUGAAGGCCUUUUCCCCGUGUUUGGAGGGUCUGCUUCAUCCCUUCUAAACCCUGGUGCUUUCCUACA
ensembl:snoRNA SNORA71 Small nucleolar RNA SNORA71